rnacentral:rRNA from 1 species
AUUGAACGCUGGCGGCAGGCUUGACACAUGCAAGUCGAGCGGAGAUGAGGUGCUUGCACCUUAUCUUAGCGGCGGACGGGUGAGUAAUGCUUAGGAAUCUGCCUAUUAGUGGGGGACAACAUUCCGAAAGGAAUGCCAAUACCGCAUACGUCCUACGAUAAAAAGCAGGGGAUCUUCGGACCUUGCGCUAAUAGAUGAGCCUAAGUCGGAUUAGCUAGGUGGUGGGGUCAGGGCCUACCAAGGCGACGAUCUGUAGCGGGUCUGAGAGGAUGAUCCGCCACACUGGGACUGAGACACGGCCCAGACUCCUACGGGAGGCAGCAGUGGGGAAUAUUGGACAAUGGGGGGAACCCUGAUCCAGCCAUGCCGCGUGUGUGAAGAAGGCCUUAUGGUUGUAAAGCACUUUAAGCGAGGAGGAGGCUACUGAGACUAAUACUCUUGGAUAGUGGACGUUACUCGCAGAAUAAGCACCGGCUAACUCUGUGCCAGCCGCCGCGGUAA